rnacentral:rRNA from 1 species
CCCUUAGAUGUUCUGGGCCGCACGCGCGCUACACUGACGAAUGCAACGAGCUUAUAACCUUGGCCGAAAGGUCUGGGUAAUCUUUGAACGCUGUUCGUGAUUGGGAUAGACCUUUGCAAUUAUGGGUCUUCAACGAGGAAUUCCUAGUAAACGCAAGUCAUCAGCUUGCAUUGAUUACGUCCCUGCCCUUUGUACACACCGCCCGUCGCACCUACCGAUUGAAUGGUCCGGUGAAAUCUCGGGACGGCGGCUUGGUCGCUUGCGUCCGACUGCUGAAACUUGAUUAAACCAUAUCAUUUAGAGGAAGGUGAAGUCGUAACA